rnacentral:rRNA from 1 species
AAACGACUCUCGGCAAUGGAUAUCUCGGCUCUCGCAUCGAUGAAGAGCGCAGCGAAAUGCGAUACGUGGUGCGAAUUGCAGAAUCCCGCGAACCAUCGAGUCUUUGAACGCAAGUUGCGCCUGAGGCCAACCGGCCGAGGGCACGUCUGCCUGGGCGUCAGGC